AACGAACGCUGGCGGCAGGCCUAACACAUGCAAGUCGAGCGGACCCUUCGGGGUUAGCGGCGGACGGGUGAGUAACGCGUGGGAAUAUGCCCUUCUCUACGGAAUAGUCCUGGGAAACUGGGGGUAAUACCGUAUACGCCCUUUGGGGGAAAGAUUUAUCGGGGAAGGAUUAGCCCGCGUUGGAUUAGGUAGUUGGUGGGGUAAUGGCCUACCAAGCCGACGAUCCAUAGCUGGUUUGAGAGGAUGAUCAGCCACACUGGGACUGAGACACGGCCCAGACUCCUACGGGAGGCAGCAGUGGGGAAUCUUAGACAAUGGGGGCAACCCUGAUCUAGCCAGGCCGCGUGAGUGAUGAAGGCCUUAGGGUUGUAAAGCUCUUUCAGCUGGGAAGAUAAUGACGGUACCAGCAGAAGAAGCCCCGGCUAACUCCGUG
rnacentral:rRNA from 1 species